rnacentral:rRNA from 1 species
GACGAACGCUGGCGGCGUGCCUAAUACAUGCAAGUAGAACGCACAGGAUGCACCGUAGUUUACUACACCGUAUUCUGUGAGUUGCGAACGGGUGAGUAACGCGUAGGUAACCUGCCUGGUAGCGGGGGAUAACUAUUGGAAACGAUAGCUAAUACCGCAUAAGAACAUUUACUGCAUGGUAGAUGUUUAAAAGGUGCAAAUGCAUCACUACCAGAUGGACCUGCGUUGUAUUAGCUAGUAGGUGAGGUAACGGCUCACCUAGGCGACGAUACAUAGCCGACCUGAGAGGGUGAUCGGCCACACUGGGACUGAGACACGGCCCAGACUCCUACGGGAGGCAGCAGUAGGGAAUCUUCGGCAAUGGGGGGAACCCUGACCGAGCAACGCCGCGUGAGUGAAGAAGGUUUUCGGAUCGUAAAGCUCUGUUGUUAAGGAAGAACGAGUGUGAGAAUGGAAAGUUCAUACUGUGACGGUACUUAACCAGAAAGGGACGGCUAACUACGUGCCAGCAGCCGCGGUAAUACGUAGGUCCCGAGCGUUGUCCGGAUUUAUUGAGCGUAAAGCGAGCGCAGGCGGUUAGAUAAGUCUGAAGUUAAAGGCAGUGGCUCAACCAUUGUAGGCUUUGGAAACUGUUUAACUUGAGUGCAGAAGGGGAGAGUGGAAUUCCAUGUGUAGCGGUGAAAUGCGUAGAUAUAUGGAGGAACACCGGUGGCGAAAGCGGCUCUCUGGUCUGUAACUGACGCUGAGGCUCGAAAGCGUGGGGAGCGAACAGG